rnacentral:rRNA from 1 species
GACGAACCGUGCAAACGUUGUUCGGAAUCACUGGGCUUAAAGGGCGCGUAGGCGGGCGGUCAAGUCAGGGGUGAAAUCUUUCGGCUCAACCGGAAAAGUGCCUUUGAUACUGGCCGUCUGGAGGGAGGUAGGGGCGUGCGGAACUUCCGGUGGAGCGGUGAAAUGCGUAGAUAUCGGAAGGAACACCGGUGGCGAAAGCGGCGCGCUGGACCUCUACUGACGCUGAGGCGCGAAAGCCAGGGGAGCAAACGGG